rnacentral:lncRNA from 1 species
GAAGCAUUAUUUUCUCACCAUCAGGUGUAAUAUGUCAGCUGGAACAGCCGAUGGGCGGAAAAGUGUACAAACUUCAGUGGUUCCAUCUCCCAUAGACAUCUGCCUCAUAAGAACAGAAAGUGUGACCAUGUAAAGUGUUCCAUAAGCACUCCAAGACAUUUAUAAUGAUAAUGAGGAGGAGGAGGAGGAAGACGACAACAGUAACCCUAAUAUCAUAUACCAUUAUGAAGGGCUUCCUAUGUGCCUGAUGCUGAGCUCUAUUCUAUGUAGUUUUUUUCAUUUCCUGUGUGUAGUCAUUCACAAGACA